AAUAUUGCGCAAUGGGGGGAACCCUGACGCAGCGACGCCGCGUGAGCGACGCAGGCCUUCGGGUCGUACAGCUCUGUCCUCAGGGAAGAAGAAAGUGACGGUACCUGAGAAGAAAGCCCCGGCUAACUACGUGCCAGCAGCCGCGGUAAUACGUAGGGGGCGAGCGUUGUCCGGAAUUACUGGGCGUAAAGGGUACGCAGGCGGCCUGAUAAGUCAGCUGUGAAAUACCACGGCUUAACCGUGGGGGUGCAGUUGAAACUGUUGGGCUUGAGUGCAGGAGAGGAAAGCGGAAUUCCUAGUGUAGCGGUGAAAUGCGUAGAGAUUAGGAGGAACACCAGUGGCGAAGGCGACUUUCUGGACUGUAACUGACGCUGAGGUGCGAAAGCGUGGGUAGCAAACA
rnacentral:rRNA from 1 species